rnacentral:rRNA from 1 species
UACGUAGGUGACAAGCGUUGUCCGGAUUUACUGGGCGUAAAGAGCGCGCAGGCGGUCGAUCAAGUCGAGUGUGAAAGCCCCCGGCUCAACUGGGGAGGGUCACUCGAUACUGAUCGACUUGAAGGCGGGAGAGGGAAGCGGAAUUCCCGGUGUAGUGGUGAAAUGCGUAGAUAUCGGGAGGAACACCAGUGGCGAAGGCGGCUUUCUGGCCCGUUCUUGACGCUGAGGCGCGAAAGCUAGGGUAGCAAACGGG